AUUACGCCUUCCAUGAAGCCGGAAUUGCUAGUAAUGGCAGGCCAGCAUACUGCCGUGAAUACGUUCCCGGGCCUUGUACACACCGCCCGUCACACCAUGAGAGUUGGGGAUACCCGAAGCCUGUGAGCUAACAUUAUGAGGCAGCAGUCGAAGGUAGAAUCAAUGAUUGGGGUGAAGUCGUAACAAGGUAAC
rnacentral:rRNA from 1 species